UUGUUAUAAUUAUUUAAUUUUUUGUCUAACUAUGGCAAUUCCUCACAUGCUUAGUCAAAUUACUAUUCUUAGUAUAUUUCUUCUGACACACAUCACAAGUAAAUGUUUUAAAUAGGUUUAAUCCUGGCAUAGACAAUUUUUUUUUUUUACUUUUUUAUUAUCUCCCCGGGUAUACAUUAUCAAUCAAUAAAAUAAAUAAACAAAAUAAGGUUUCUAACUAUGGCAAUUUCUCACAUGCUUAGUUAAAUUACUAUUCUUAGUAUAUUUCUUCUGACACACAUCACAAGUGUACAGAGUAUAUCCCGUGUGAGUUCGCAUAUGAUACGCCAGGCUGCUCCUAUCGCCAUAGUCCAUCGGACACAAGCCACAAGCAUACGGUCUGUCACCCGUGUGAGUUCUCAUGUGACACGUUAGACUGCUCCGAUCAGUAAACUUCGGGCAUAGGGGGCACAAAUACAUUUUCUCACCCGUGUGAGUUCUCAUGUAAUUCACUAUAGAAUAUUCAAAUGUUUUUAAAUGGGUUUAAUUAAUCAUGCCAUAGACAACAGUUUUUUUUUUACUUUUUGUUUUUGUUCGUUAUAAUUAAUUAAUUUUUUGUAAACCAUAGAGCAAAUUGGGCAACUGUUAUAUUAUCUCCCGGGGUAUACAUUAUCAAUAAACAAAAUAAGGUUUCUAACUAUGGCAAUUCCUCACAUGCUUAGUUAAAUUACUAUUCUUAGUAUAUUUCUUCUGACAAACAUCACAAGUAAAUGUUUUAAAUAGGUUUAAUCCUGGCAUAGACAAUUUUUUUUUUUUACUUUUUUAUUAUCUCCCCGGGUAUACAUUAUCAAUCAAUAAAAUAAAUAAACAAAAUAAGGUUUCUAACUAUGGCAAUUCCUCACAUGCUUAGUUAAAUUACUAUUCUUAGUAUAUUUCUUCUGACAAACAUCACAAGUAAAUGUUUUAAAUAGGUUUAAUCCUGGCAUAGACAUUUUUUUUUUACUUUUUUGUUUUUGUUUGUUAUAAUCAAUUAAUUUUUUGUAAACCAUAGAGCAAAUUUGGCAUAUCUGUAACACCUCCGGGUAUACAUUAUCAAUCAAUAAAAUAAAUAAAUAAGGUUUCUAACUAUGGCAAUUCCUCACAUGCUUAGUUAAAUUACUAUUUUUAGUAUAUUUCUUCUGACACACAUCACAAGUGUACAGAGUAUAACCCGUGUGAGUUCGCAUAUGAUACGCC